rnacentral:lncRNA from 1 species
ACCCUACUCUAAUAAGGUUUUGAUAUCUGGAGCUCAUAGGUGGGAGACAGAUAAUACAUACUUACAAGACAUUUAUUGCAUAGUCAAACCAUGGAUCUAGAAGAACAAGUCAAUAAGUCAAAUCAAGAUGUGCAUGUGUGGCGAGUGAAUGGUGUAUGGUGAUGAUGGUGAUAACAAUGGUGAAAAUCUAAUUCUACUUUUGCUCUUUUAAGAGGAUACAUACCUUUAAGCUUUUUUAGGAGAAUGAGAUGUUAUUUUUCUUUUUCUUUCCUCUCAGGUGGGUAUCUUGUACCCCUAAUUCUACUGUCGGACACUUGUCCAUUUUUACCUCUCAUCUUACUUUUUCUUUUCUUCGAGGUUCCCGGCACUUGCCCCUUUUUAUUUCCUCGUAUCCUUUUUUUAAGAACACUCAUCUCCUAAAAUAAUAUAGCAAGUGGUAGUAACCAAGAUAACUCGAGCAUCUAUUUCACAGGGAAAAACAGAAAUGUUUUUGGCUAUUCUCUCCCAGAUUAGGAGUAGAAUACUUUUGGGUGGCU